GAUGAACGCUGGCGGCGUGCCUAAUACAUGCAAGUCGAGCGAACAGGCGAGGAGCUUGCUCCUCUGACGUUAGCGGCGGACGGGUGAGUAACACGUGGAUAACCUACCUAUAAGACUGGGAUAACUUCGGGAAACCGGAACUAAUACCGGAUAAUAUAUUGAACCGCAUGGUUCAAUAGUGAAAGACGGUUUUGCUGUCACUUAUAGAUGGAUCCGCGCCGCAUUAGCUAGUUGGUAAGGUAACGGCUUACCAAGGCAACGAUGCGUAGCCGACCUGAGAGGGUGAUCGGCCACACUGGAACUGAGACACGGUCCAGACUCCUACGGGAGGCAGCAGUAGGGAAUCUUCCGCAAUGGGCGAAAGCUUGACGGAGCAACGCCGCGUGAGUGAUGAAGGUCUUCGGAUCGUAAAACUCUGUUAUUAGGGAAGAACAAAUGUGUAAGUAACUAUGCACGUCUUGACGGUACCUAAUCAGAAAGCCACGGCUAACUACGUG
rnacentral:rRNA from 1 species